rnacentral:rRNA from 1 species
UGGGGAAUAUUGCACAAUGGGCGAAAGCCUGAUGCAGCGACGCCGCGUGAGGGAUGACGGCCUUCGGGUUGUAAACCUCUUUCAGUCAGGAACAAGCCACUUGUGAUGAGGGUACUGGCAGAAGAAGCACCGGCUAACUACGUGCCAGCAGCCGCGGUAAUACGUAGGGUGCGAGCGUUAUCCGGAAUUAUUGGGCGUAAAGAGCUUGUAGGCGGUUUGUCGCGUCUGCUGUGAAAGCCCGGGGCUUAACUCCGGGUCUGCAGUGGGUACGGGCAGGCUAGAGUGAUGUAGGGGUAACUGGAAUUCCUGGUGUAGCGGUGGAAUGCGCAGAUAUCAGGAAGAACACCGAUGGCGAAGGCAGGUUACUGGGCAUUUACUGACGCUGAGAAGCGAAAGCAUGGGGAGCGAACAGGAUUAGAUACCCUGGUAGUCCAUGCCGUAAACGUUGGGCACUAGGUGUGGGGAGCAUUCCACGUUUUCCGCGCCGUAGCUAACGCAUUAAGUGCCCCGCCUGGGGAGUACGGCCGCAAGGCUAA